UGGGAGGAGACCUGAUAUCAGUACCAUUCCUUGACUGUACCAUAUCUCCAAGCAAAGCAUGAUAGCAGAAGCAGCUGUGAGCUUGAAAUAAGGCCAAAUUCCUUUGAAAGCACUUAUUGAUAAGCCAGUCCAAGUUUCCUUGCAAUUUGGACUAAGAACAAUGUAAAGACCAUUCAAGAUGACAAGAAGCCACCAAGACAAACUCAGUGUUAAGGCUGCUCCUAGAAGCCCGUAGUCCAAUUUAUAAAUAACAAGCCACGAGAGAAGGAUGUGAACAAAGAACACCCCAACAGACAUGUAUGCAAGAGGGUUCACAAUGUUCUGAGCUUGAAG
rnacentral:misc_RNA from 1 species